rnacentral:rRNA from 1 species
AACGAACGCUGGCGGCAGGCCUAACACAUGCAAGUCGAAGGAGAAGCCAUCUUCGGAUGGUGGAAACUGGCGCACGGGUGAGUAACGCGUGGGUAUCUACCUCGGGGUGGGGAAUAACCGCUGGAAACGGCGGCUAAUACCGCAUACGCCUUAAGAGGGAAAGCUCCGGCGCCCUGAGAGGAGCCCGCGUUGGAUUAGCUUGUUGGUGGGGUAACGGCCCACCAAGGCGACGAUCUAUAGCUGGUCUGAGAGGAUGAUCAGCCACACUGGGACUGAGACACGGCCCAGACUCCUACGGGAGGCAGCAGUGAGGAAUAUUGGACAAUGGGCGCAAGCCUGAUCCAGCCAUGCCGCGUGAGUGAAGAAGGCCUUAGGGUUGUAAAGCUCUUUCACCUGCGAAGAUGAUGACGGUAGCAGGAGAAGAAGCCCCGGCUAACUCCGUG